AGUCGCAAGACCGCGAGGUUUAGCAAAUCUCUUAAAGCCGUUCUCAGUUCGGAUUGUAGGCUGCAACUCGCCUACAUGAAGUCGGAAUCGCUAGUAAUCGCGGAUCAGCAUGCCGCGGUGAAUACGUUCCCGGGCCUUGUACACACCGCCCGUCACACCAUGAGAGUUUGUAACACCCAAAGCCGGUGGGGUAACCUUUUGGAGCCAGCCGUCUAAGGUGGGACAGAUGAUCGGGGUGAAGUCGUAACAAGGUACC
rnacentral:rRNA from 1 species